rnacentral:tRNA from 1 species
GGGUGUAUAGCUCAGUGGUAGAGCACAUGCUUAGCACGCAUGAGGUCCUGGGUUCAAUCCCCAGUGCCUUCA